UACGGAGGAUGCAAGCGUUAUCCGGAAUGAUUGGGCGUAAAGCGUCCGCAGGUGGCUAUGUAAGUCUGCUGUUAAAGAGUGAGGCUCAACCUCAUAAGAGCAGUGGAAACUACAUGGCUAGAGUGCGUUCGGGGCAGAGGGAAUUCCUGGUGUAGCGGUGAAAUGCGUAGAGCUCGGGAAGAACAUCGGUGGCGAAAGCGCUCUACUGGACUGCAACUGACACUCAGGGACGAAAGCUAGGGGAGCGAAUGGG
rnacentral:rRNA from 1 species